rnacentral:rRNA from 1 species
AGAGUUUGAUCAUGGCUCAGAACGAACGCUGGCGGCAGGCCUCAAACAUGCAAGUCUAGGGGGUGCAGCAAUGCAUCACCGGCGGACGGGUGCGUAACACGUGGGAAUGUACCUACUGGUUCGGAACAACUGCGGGAAACUGCAGCUAAUACCGAAUAAGCCCUUCGGGGGAAAGAUUUAUCGCCAGUAGAUCAGCCCGCGUUCGAUUAGCUAGUUGGUGAGGUAAUGGCUCACCAAGGCUCCGAUCGAUAGCUGUUCUGAGAGGAAGAUCAGCCACACUGGGACUGAGACACGGCCCAGACUCCUACGGGAGGCAGCAGUUGGGAAUCUUGGACAAUGGGGGAAACCCUGAUCCAGCCAUGCCGCGUGAGUGAUGAAGGCCUUCGGGUUGUAAAGCUCUUUUACCCGGGAAGAUAAUGACUGUACCGGGAGAAUAAGCUCCGGCUAACUUCGUGCCAGCAGCCGCGGUAAUACGAAGGGGGCUAGCGUUGUUCGGAAUUACUGGGCGUAAAGCGUGCGCAGGCGGCUUCUCAAGUCAGUGGUGAAAGCCCGGAGCUCAACUCCGGAAUUGCCAUUGAAACUGUGGAGCUUGAGGACGAGAGAGGUGAGUGGAAUUCCCAGUGUAGAGGUGAAAUUCGUAGAUAUUGGGAAGAACACCGGUGGCGAAGGCGGCUCACUGGCUCGUUUCUGACGCUCAGGCACGAUAGCGUGGGGAUCAAACAGGAUUAGAUACCCUAGUAGUCC